AUUGAACGCUGGCGGCAGGCCUAACACAUGCAAGUCGAGCGGACGAAGGGGGCUCGCUCCUGGAUUCAGCUGCGGACGGGUGAGUAAUGCCUAGGAAUCUGCCUGGCCGUGGGGGAUAACGUCCGGAAACGGGCGCUAAUACCGCACACGUCCUGAGGGAGAAAGUGGGGGAUCUUCGGACCUCACGCUAUCUGAUGAGCCUAGGCUGCAUUAGCUAGUUGGUAGGGUAAAGGCUUACCAAGGCGACGAACCGUAACCGACCUGAGAGGGUGAUCAGGCACACUGGAACUGAGAAACGGUCCAGACUCCUACGGGAGGCAGCAGUAGGGAAUCUUCCGCAAUGGGCGAAAGCCUGACGGAGCAACGCCGCGUGAGUGAUGAAGGUCUUCGGAUCGUAAAACUCUGUUAGUAGGGAAGAACAGAUGUGUAAGUAACUGUGCACAUCUUGACGGUACCCAAUAAGAAAGCCACGGCUAACUCCGUG
rnacentral:rRNA from 1 species